rnacentral:rRNA from 1 species
CAUAGGUUAAUGAGGCGAACCGGGGGAACUGAAACAUCUAAGUACCCCGAGGAAAAGAAAUCAACCGAGAUUCCCCCAGUAGCGGCGAGCGAACGGGGAGCAGCCCAGAGCCUGAAUCAGUGUGUGUGUUAGUGGAAGCGUCUGGAAAGGCGCGCGAUACAGGGUGACAGCCCCGUACACAAAAAUGCACAUGCUGUGAGCUCGAUGAGUAGGGCGGGACACGUGGUAUCCUGUCUGAAUAUGGGGGGACCAUCCUCCAAGGCUAAAUACUCCUGACUGACCGAUAGUGAACCAGUACCGUGAGGGAAAGGCGAAAAGAACCCCGGCGAGGGGAGUGAAAAAGAACCUGAAACCGUGUACGUACAAGCAGUGGGAGCACGCUUAGGCGUGUGACUGCGUACCUUUUGUAUAAUGGGUCAGCGACUUAUAUUCUGUAGCAAGGUUAACCGAAUAGGGGAGCCGAAGGGAAACCGAGUCUUAACUGGGCGUUAAGUUGCAGGGUAUAGACCCGAAACCCGGUGA